CGGGUGAGUAACGCGUGAGUAACCUGCCUUACACAAGGGGAUAGCCUUUGGAAACGAAGAAUAAUACCCUAUAAAACUAUAAAAGCACAUGCAAUUAUGGUCAAAGUGAUAGCGGUGUAAGAUGGACUUGCGUCUGAUUAGCUAGUUGGUGAGAUAAAAGCUCACCAAGGCAACGAUCAGUAGCCGGCUUGAGAGAGUGUACGGCCACAUUGGGACUGAGACACGGCCCAG
rnacentral:rRNA from 1 species